rnacentral:rRNA from 1 species
UACGAAGGGGGCUAGCGUUGCUCGGAAUCACUGGGCGUAAAGCGCACGUAGGCGGGUCUUUAAGUCAGGGGUGAAAUCCUGGAGCUCAACUCCAGAACUGCCUUUGAUACUGAGGAUCUCGAGUCCGGGAGAGGUGAGUGGAACUCCGAGUGUAGAGGUGAAAUUCGUAGAUAUUCGGAAGAACACCAGUGGCGAAGGCGGCUCACUGGCCCGGUACUGACGCUGAGGUGCGAAAGCGUGGGGAGCAAACAGGAUUAGAAACCCGAUG